rnacentral:lncRNA from 1 species
CACACAAUGCAUUACACGCACAGACACACACACACAAACAAUGCAACCCUUACACACAAUGCAUUCCUUACACACACUCAAUGCACCCCUUACACACACUCAAUGCACCCCUUACACACGCACACACUGCAUCCUUUACAUACACUGAAACACACCUUGCAGCCCUUACACAGACAAACACAGAUUCACACAAUGCAUUCCUUACACACAUAUCAGGACAUCCCCUACACACUCCACCCCCUGUGAACAAACUCAUUGGUGGAACAUGAAGGUGGACCCUGGGACCCAGACCUUGAGCUGUGUAAAGGGCC